UUUUUUCUUAUCCUAGUAAACAUGACAAGUUUCUGUCCCCUCAAGCUGCCCUGGUAACUUUUUUUUCUUCCACUUUCUUCUUUUCCCUCCGCCCUUUGUUCAAAUUUCCCAUUGUUUUACACUCUUGGGUCAACAAUUGGAUGUUAGCUUGAAUUAUUAUCCAACGAAUAAGAGACUUGAAGUUUAAUUGAUUAACACGCAUGACACAACGCUUCCUCUUAAGUUGAUCUGGUGAUUUUUUCCUUUUACUUCUUCUGCUUCCCUCCAUUUUUCGCUCUUGUUUCUCGUUAGAGACCACUUAAAAAAUACUGAACAAACAAGAGACUUGUAGCUGAAACAGUUAACAAUAAUUAAUUAUGCACUUGAAGUCCAACGUUCGAUUUUCGCUAAAUGAAAAUUCUUUGUCACUUUCAAGAUUCAAAUAUACCUACAGAGGAAGAAAUGUUCCUUAAACGAAACAGAACAAGGACAACGGGACAACCUUCGUGAAACUUAACCAACAAACGAAUAAAUAAAUAAGUAAAUAAAUAAGGAGUAUGAUUAUUUCCCCUCUUUUUUUCAUCUCCUUCUUCUCACAUUAUCUAUUUUGUCUUUCUCUUUUUAUAAAAAAAUAAUAUAAGAUGUUGACGUGGCUUAAUUGUGACCGUUCAAAUAGGAGGAGAGGGAAGGAGAAGGAACAAAAAAGGAGAGAGAAUCAUACUUCAAUAAAUAAACGCAGAAGUGCCUUUAUGGAAGUGCAAGGAGACAUUUUCCAAAAAAUUCCAAUACAAUUUUCUUUCUUUCUUCUAUAUCUCGGCCUGCAAAAGAUAAGGUUGGUAUUUAUUUCGAGUUUCACAUGAUUUAUUAAUAUUUAAUGACAUAAUUGAAUUGUUCGUUGCUUAUUAGCAUUUGGGUGCAAAAUAUAUUGCUUGAAAUCUUGAAAAUCUGCUGCUCAAUAUGUUAGUGUGUAAAUUAUGAUCUGAUGUGGCAGUUGCAAUUCCAGCUCAUAUUGCUAGGAUGUUUAGCUAAAUUGGUUGUAUGCUUAUUUAUUUAAGUCUCAUAGGUCUUAAGUAAGUAGACAUGUGUUUUCAUCUCAUAGGGUGUAAGAUGGAAGGCUGAGAUUGUUUUGAUGUAAUUUGAAUACUACCAAAAGAGUGCAACGAUUAGAAGUGAGUGGAAUUCCCUUCAUCUCUCAGAUAAAUGAAAUGGUGAAUGUGUGAAGAAUAUUCAGAGUCAUAUUCAUUUAAAAAUAGCUCAAAACCCAUGAUAUCUCAUGGUUUUCAUUUAUCAGAAAAUAAGAAUAUUUUAAACACAUUACAUAAAUAAUUCACCUCAAUAAUUCAAGCUUUGGCAAGGCAACUCAACUAACAUCUCCACAAACCUCAAACCCUAGCUCGCUAUCUCUCUCUAUACCUAUAUAAUAUAUAUACACACACACGUACAUACAUAUAUAUACAUAGAUAUAUACUAAUGUACAUCACCCCUACGUAAUGCAUGCAUUGCAUGCUUCUGUGGUUUCAAAAGAAUGGAG
rnacentral:lncRNA from 1 species